rnacentral:rRNA from 1 species
ACACCGGCAGCUCAAGUGGUAGCCGCUUUUAUUGGGCCUAAAGCGUCCGUAGCCGGUCUGAUAAGUCUCUGGUGAAAUCCCACAGCUUAACUGUGGGAAUUGCUGGAGAUACUAUCAUGACUCGAGGUCGGGAGAGGCUGGAGGUACUCCCAGGGUAGGGGUGAAAUCCUGUAAUCCUGGGAUGACCACCUGUGGCGAAGGCAGCCAGCUGGAACGAACCUGACGGUGAGGGACGAAAGCCAGGGGCGCGAACCGGAUUAGAUACCCGGGUAGUCCUGGCCGUAAACGAUGUGGACUUGGUGUUGGGAUGGCUUCGAGCUGCCCCAGUGCCGAAGGGAAGCUGUUAAGUCCACCGCCUGGGAAGUACGGCCGCAAGGCUGAAACUCAAAUGAAUUGGCGGGG